rnacentral:misc_RNA from 1 species
GAUGAAGAACGCAGCGAAAUGCGAUAAGUAAUGUGAAUUGCAGAAUUCAGUGAAUCAUCGAAUCUUUGAACGCACCUUGCACCCUUUGGACUGCUCCAAAGGGUAUGCUCGUUUGAGUGUCAUUGUACUCUCACACUCUCUGAUCCUUUGGAUUUGGGGAGCAGUGGACUUGGGUGCUUGCUGCUUCCUUGUGGCUCACCUGAAAUGCAUCAGUGCAUCUCUCGAUUGAACAUAGUACGGCGUGAUAAGUGUCUUCGCCGGCACCUCAUAUGAGGGUGGCCGAUCGGGAGCUCUGUGCUUUCAAACCGUCUUCGGACAACGCUGACAACUUGACCUCAAAUCGAGUAGGACUACCCGCUGAACUUAAGCAUAUCAAUAAGCGGAGGA